UACGUAGGGUGCAAGCGUUGUCCGGAAUUAUUGGGCGUAAAGAGCUCGUAGGCGGUUUGUCGCGUCUGCUGUGAAAACGCGAGGCUCAACCUCGCGCCUGCAGUGGGUACGGGCAGACUAGAGUGCGGUAGGGGAGAUUGGAAUUCCUGGUGUAGCGGUGGAAUGCGCAGAUAUCAGGAGGAACACCGAUGCGAAGGCAGAUCUCUGGGCCGUAACUGACGCUGAGGAGCGAAAGCGUGGGGGAGCGAACAGG
rnacentral:rRNA from 1 species